rnacentral:rRNA from 1 species
GGGCCCGCACAAGCAGUGGAGUAUGUUGUUUAAUUCGAAGCAACGCGAAGAACCUUACCAGGUCUUGACAUCGAGUGAAAGCCCUAGAGAUAGGGCCCUCCCUUCGGGGACACGAAGACAGGUGGUGCAUGGUUGUCGUCAGCUCGUGUCGUGAGAUGUUGGGUUAAGUCCCGCAACGAGCGCAACCCUUAUCAUUAGUUGCUACGCAAGAGCACUCUAAUGAGACUGCCGUUGACAAAACGGAGGAAGGUGGGGAUGACGUCAAAUCAUCAUGCCCUUUAUGACCUGGGCUACAAACGUACUACAAUGGUAUAUAACAAUGGGAAGCAAAGCCGCGAGGUGGAGCAAAUCCCCAAAAUAUAUCUCAGUUCGGAUUGCAGGCUGCAACUCGCCUGCAUGAAGUCGGAAUUGCUAGUAAUCGCAGAUCAGCAUGCUGCGGUGAAUACGUUCCCGGGCCUU